UACGUAGGGGGCGAGCGUUAUCCGGAUUCACUGGGUGUAAAGGGAGCGUAGACGGCUGGGCAAGCCUGAUGUGAAAGGCGGGGGCGCAACCCUCGGACUGCAUUGGGAACUGUCCGGCUGGAGCGCCGGAGGGGUAAGCGGAAUUCCUGGUGUAGCGGUGAAAUGCGUAGAUAUCAGGAGGAACAUCGGUGGCGUAAGCGCUUUACUGGGCCGUAAUUGACGCUGAGGAACGAAAGCCAGGGUAGCAAAUGGG
rnacentral:rRNA from 1 species